rnacentral:rRNA from 1 species
CCUACGGGUGGCAGCAGUGGGGGAUAUUGCACAAUGGGGGAAACCCUGAUGCAGCGACGCCGCGUGUGGGAAGACGGUCUUCUGGAUUGUAAACCACUGUCCCCAGGGACGAAAAUGACGGUACCUGGGGAGGAAGCUCCGGCUAACUACGUGCCAGCAGCCGCGGUAAUACGUAGGGAGCAAGCGUUGUCCGGAAUUACUGGGUGUAAAGGGAGCGUAGGCGGGGAUGCAAGUUGGGUGUAAAAACUACCGGCUCAACCGAUAGUCGCACUCAAAACUGCAACUCUUGAGUGAAGUAGAGGCAGGCGGAAUGCCUGGUGUAGCGGUGAAAUGCGUAGAUAUUAGGAGGAACACCAGUGGCGAAGGCGGCCUGCUGGGCUUUUACUGACGCUGAGGCUCGAAAGUGUGGGGAGCAAACAGGAUUAGAUACCCCAGUAGUC